UUAAAAUGAUAGAAUUCCAUUUAACCUCUGGCAGAUGUUCAAAAUACAAGAUUAAAAUAAAUCAAGUUUCUGGAAGAUUGUGUGUGAGGAAAGGAAGACAAGGUGAGGAAAGGGGAUAAUUGGAUGGGGUUUAUGGGGGUGUAAAUUAAAACACCUGAGACAUUGAUAGCUUAUAACUUUGCCUUAGAAGGGAGCAGAGGGUGAGCCGAAAAAGUAGAGAAGAAAGAGGUCACUGGAUGCUGUUUUAGGAAGGAAGAUCAUUUCAUAGUGAAAAGUUGCUCAAGAAAGGCUACUCUAGAAGAAAACAGACUUCUGUGAGCGAUCCAAGCAGAAAUGACUGCUUUAAGAACUGAAUCAAUCUCUCAGAAGAGGAUGACCUUAGACCUUCAGGAUGUUCUUUCCCAGGUAGUCUUAGGACUAGAAGCCUCUGGAAACUCUGGCCUAAUAUACAAAUCAUGGAACCGAAAGAAUGACAGUUGUUUCCACUUGAUCUGAUUUGGCUGGAUUUCCCAUCAGGGUCCUCAAGGCCUGUUUACUUCUGAUUCCCAUCCUAAUCGGUCUCUGGGUGUUUUAUUUUUUAUUUUUUUAUAUUUUUUAGGCCUUUUAAUUGUGGAGACCAUUUUACUUGGGCUUUUAAAAUUUGUUUUUGGAGUCUACUUUAUUUAAACAUGCUGGAUUAAAACUAUUCUAAUUGUCUUCUGUUUAUUCAUGUCCUUUUCCUCCUUUUGGAAACAACUUUAUUUGUAACUAUCUGCUUGGCAAACUUUUAGCCCCCUUUCAUGUUAUAUAAUCAUAACACUAUACAGAUGAUAUUCAGUCCCACUUUUGAAAAUACCAAAAAAUUGUUGAAAUACA
rnacentral:lncRNA from 1 species